rnacentral:rRNA from 1 species
UUCGCCCUUAGAGUUUGAUCCUGGCUCAGAGCGAACGCUGGCGGCAGGCUUAACACAUGCAAGUCGAGCGGGCCCUUCGGGGUCAGCGGCAGACGGGUGAGUAACGCGUGGGAACGUGCCUUCCGGUUCGGAAUAACCCUGGGAAACUAGGGCUAAUACCGGAUACGCCCUUAUGGGGAAAGGUUUACUGCCGGAAGAUCGGCCCGCGUCUGAUUAGCUAGUUGGUGGGGUAACGGCCUACCAAGGCGACGAUCAGUAGCUGGUCUGAGAGGAUGAUCAGCCACACUGGGACUGAGACGCGGCCCAGACUCCUACGGGAGGCAGCAGAAGGG